UAGGAAGUGGUGUAGUGGAAGCACGAAGAGUUUUGAUCUCUUCAGGUAGGGUUCAAACCCCUUCUUUCUAA
rnacentral:tRNA from 1 species